rnacentral:misc_RNA from 1 species
AAGUCGUAACAAGGUUUCCGUAGGUGAACCUGCGGAAGGAUCAUUCAUAAUAAAAGUGAAAUUUUAUGGCACUUUUAAAACAAUCCAUAUCCACCUUGUGUGCAAUGUUUUUUUUUUUUAAAUAAACUCAUUUUUUUUAAAUAUGUUUUGUCUGAAAUAUCUUUUAUGAAUUACUUAAUUCUAAAAUAUAACUUUCAACAACGGAUCUCUUGGCUCUC